CCCUUAGAUGUUCUGGGCCGCACGCGCGCUACAAUGGUCUUCGCAAACGGAUGCAUUCUCGAAGGAGAAUGCCAAUCUUGGAAUCUAUGCCUUGGUCGGGACAGUUGCUUGCAAUUUUUCGACUCGAACCAGGAAUUCCUUGUAAUCGUGAUUCAUCACAUCACGAUGAAUACGUCCCUGCCCUUUGUACACACCGCCCGUCGCUCCUACCGAUCGAAGAGUUAGGUGAAUUGUUUUGAUCGAUAAGAUUUGACUAUGGUCAACUCUCGUUAUGAAAUUCUGUGAAUCUGACUGUUUAGAGGAAGGAAAAGUCGUAACA
rnacentral:rRNA from 1 species